GAUGAACGCUGACAGAAUGCUUAACACAUGCAAGUCGAUUCAAUUUACCUUCGGGUAUUGAGGAUGGCGGACGGGUGAGUAACGCGUAAGGAACUUGCCUCCUGGUCUGGGACAACUGUUGGAAACGACAGCUAAUACCGGAUAUUAUGAGAUUCUCGCAUGGGAAACUUAUGAAAGCUAUAUGCGCCAAGAGAGAGCCUUGCGUUCCAUUAGCUAGUUGGUGGGGUAACGGCCCACCAAGGCGACGAUGGAUAGCCGGCCUGAGAGGGUGAACGGCCACAAGGGGACUGAGACACGGCCCUUACUCCUACGGGAGGCAGCAGUGGGGAAUAUUGGACAAUGGGCCACAAGCCUGAUCCAGCAAUUCUGUGUGCACGAUGAAGGUCUUCGGAUUGUAAAGUGCUUUCAGUUGGGAAGAAGAAAGUGACGGUACCAACAGAAGAAGCGACGGCUAAAUACGUGCCAGCAGCCGCGGUAAUACGUAUGUCGCAAGCGUUAUCCGGAUUUAUUGGGCGUAAAGCGCGUCUAGGCGGAAAAAUAAGUCUGAUGUUAAAAUGCGGGGCUCAACUCCGUAUUGCGUUGGAAACUGUUUUUCUAGAGUACUGGAGAGGUGGGCGGAACUACAAGUGUAGAGGUGAAAUUCGUAGAUAUUUGUAGGAAUGCCGAUGGAGAAGUCAGCUCACUGGACAGAUACUGACGCUAAANCGCGAAAGCGUGGGGAGCAAACAGGAUUA
rnacentral:rRNA from 1 species